rnacentral:rRNA from 1 species
UCGUCACACUAUCAUUACGUGAAUCCAUAGCGUAAUGAGGCGAACCGGGGGAACUGAAACAUCUAAGUACCCCGAGGAAAAGAAAUCAACCGAGAUUCCCCCAGUAGCGGCGAGCGAACGGGGAGGAGCCCAGAGCCUGAAUCAGCAUGUGUGUUAGUGGAAGCGUCUGGAAAGGCGCGCGAUACAGGGUGAGAGCCCCGUACACAAAAGCGCAUGUGCUGUGAGCUCGAUGAGUAGGGCGGGACACGUGGUAUCCUGUCUGAAUAUGGGGGGACCAUCCUCCAAGGCUAAAUACUCCUGACUGACCGAUAGUGAACCAGUACCGUGAGGGAAAGGCGAAAAGAACCCCGGCGAGGGGAGUGAAAAAGAACCUGAAACCGUGUACGUACAAGCAGUGGGAGCAUGAGUUUACUCAUGUGACUGCGUACCUUUUGUAUAAUGGGUCAGCGACUUAUAUUCUGUAGCAAGGUUAACCGCAUAGGGGAGCCGAAGGGAAACCGAGUCUUAAUUGGGCGUUAAGUUGCAGGGUAUAGACCCGAAACCCGGUGAUCUAGCCAUGGGCAGGUUGAAGGUUGGGUAACACUAACUGGAGGACCGAACCGACUAAUGUUGAAAAAUUAGCGGAUGACCUGUGGCUGGGGGUGAAAGGCCAAUCAAACCGGGAGAUAGCUGGUUCUCCCCGAAAGCUAUUUAGGUAGCGCCUCGUGAACUCAUCUCCGGGGGUAGAGCACUGUUUCGGCUAGGGGGCCAUCCCGGCUUACCAACCCGAUGCAAACUGCGAAUACCGGAGAAUGUUAUCACGGGAGACACACGGCGGGUGCUAACGUCCGUCGUGAAGAGGGAAACAACCCAGACCGCCAGCUAAGGUCCCAAAGUCAUGGUUAAGUGGGAAACGAUGUGGGAAGGCCCAGACAGCCAGGAUGUUGGCUUAGAAGCAGCCAUCAUUUAAAGAAAGCGUAAUAGCUCACUGGUCGAGUCGGCCUGCGCGGAAGAUGUAACGGGGCUAAACCAUGCACCGAAGCUGCGGCAGCGA